rnacentral:rRNA from 1 species
UGGGAAUCUUGGACAAUGGGGCGAACCCUCGAUCCAGCCAUGCCGCGUGAGUGAUGAAGGCCUUAGGGUCGUAAAGCUCUUUCGCCUGUGAAGAUAAUGACGGUAGCAGGUAAAGAAACCCGCGUACUCCGUGCCAGCAGCCGCGGUAAUACGGAGGGGGUUAGCGUUGUUCGGAAUUAUUGGGCGUAAAGAGCUCGUAGGCGGUUCGGUAAGUCGGGUGUGAAAACUCUGGGCUCAACCCAGAGAGGCCACUCGAUACUGCUGUGACUAGAGUGCGGUAGGGGAGCGGGGAAUUCCUGGUGUAGCGGUGAAAUGCGCAGAUAUCAGGAGGAACACCAGUGGCGAAGGCGCCGCUCUGGGCCGUAACUGACGCUGAGGAGCGAAAGCAUGGGUAGCAAACAGGAUUAGAUACCCUGGUAGUCCACACCGUAAACGAUGAAUGCCAGUCGUCGGGUAGCAUGCUAUUCGGUGACACACCUAACGGAUUAAGCAUUCCGCCUGGGGAGUACGGUCGC